rnacentral:tRNA from 1 species
GUCUCCGUGGUAUAAUAGUCAGCACACUCGGCUCGUAUUCGAGAGGUCCGAGGUUCGAGUCCGGGCGAGUACA